GAUGAACGCUAGCUACAGGCUUAACACAUGCAAGUCGAGGGGAAACGGCAUUAAGUGCUUGCACUUUUUGGACGUCGACCGGCGCACGGGUGAGUAACGCGUAUCCAACCUUCCCAUGACUAAGGGAUAACCUGCCGAAAGGCAGACUAAUACCUUAUGGUCUUCACUGACGGCAUCAGAUGUGAAGUAAAGAUUUAUCGGUUAUGGAUGGGGAUGCGUCUGAUUAGCUUGUUGGCGGGGUAACGGCCCACCAAGGCAACGAUCAGUAGGGGUUCUGAGAGGAAGGUCCCCCACAUUGGAACUGAGACACGGUCCAAACUCCUACGGGAGGCAGCAGUGAGGAAUAUUGAUCAAUGGGCGAGAGCCUGAACCAGCCAAGUAGCGUGCAGGAUGACGGCCCUAUGGGUUGUAAACUGCUUUUGUAUGGGGAUAAAGUCAAUCACGUGUGAUUGUUUGCAGGUACCAUACGAAUAAGGACCGGCUAAUUCCGUG
rnacentral:rRNA from 1 species